CCUGGCGGCGAUAGCGCGGUGGUCCCACCUGACCCCAUGCCGAACUCAGAAGUGAAACGCCGUAGCGCCGAUGGUAGUGUGGGGUCUCCCCAUGUGAGAGUAGGGAA
rnacentral:rRNA from 2 species